rnacentral:rRNA from 1 species
CGUGCAGGAUGAAGGCCUUCGGGCGUUAAACUGCUUUUGUACGGAACGAAAGGUUCUGCCCUAAUACGCCGGAAAUAUGUCGGUACCGUAAGAAUAAGCACCGGCUAACUACGUGCCAGCAGCCGCGGUAAUACGUAGGGUGCAAGCGUUAAUCGGAAUUACUGGGCGUAAAGCGUGCGCAGGCGGUUAUAUAAGACAGAUGUGAAAUCCCCGGAGCUCAACCUAGGGAACUGCAUUUUGUGACUGUAUAGCUGGAGUACGGCAGAGGGGGAUGGAAUUCCGCGUGUAGCAGUGAAAUGCGUAGAUAUGCCGGAGGAACACCUGAUGCGCGAAGGCAAUCCCA